GCAUUGGUGGUAUAGUGGUGAGCAUAGCUGCCUUCCAAGCAGUUGACAGGGGUUUGAUUCCCGGCCAAUGCA
rnacentral:tRNA from 1 species